CAAAGAGAAAGUCCCAAAAUAAAAGGCCUCAAUUCAGAGCCGGGCCCUGUACGUCGCACACUCUGAACACCCCAGGACCGGCUCUGCUCAGCAUCUUUGGAGAAUUCUCUGAACUUUUACUAGAUCAAAAUUUGAAAAAGAGAGAGAUGCUUUUCGCCAUAGGGAUUUUAGACGAUGUUUGUAAAGAACUGCUUCAAUCCCAUCUGGAGACAAUUGAGGGCCGAUCAAGUGCUUCUGCACUGGCAGGAUCUGGUCGACAGAGAGAACACAAGAAUCGGCAAACUGAGACUGUCACGCUGCCACACCAUCGACAAAAUUUGAGCCGUGCAGAGUGAAGGAGAGAUCCGGUAUGAGGAGAGGGCAAAGAACUCAGACUAAGAGGCGCUAUCCUUGGUCUUGAAAAGUUUAUUUUUCUUGUUCUUGUUUGUCCGUCCGUUUGUUUUUCUGUUUUAUUUU